rnacentral:rRNA from 1 species
UCUCCCACCCUUUGAGUACUAUACUUUUGUUGCUUUGGCAGGCCGCUUCGGCUACCGGCUUCGGCUGGUGAGUGCCUGCCAGAGGACCCCAAAUUCUGAAUUAUAGUGUCGUCUGAGAACUAUAUAAUAGUUAAAACUAUCAACAACGGAUCUCUAGGUUCCCGCAUCGAUGAAGAACGCAGCGAAAUGCGAUAAGUAGUGUGAAUUGCAGAUUUCAGUGAAUCAUCGAAUCUUUGAACGCACAUUGCGCCCUCUGGUAUUCCGGAGGGCAUGCCUGUCUGAGCGUCAAUAAAUCCUCAAACUUUUGUUUGGUAUUGGAAGAAGUGGCUUUGGCUUCUCUUCUUAAAGCUAUUGGCGACACUAUUUCAGCUUGUAAGACGUAGUAAGAAAUUCCUCGUUGAAACAAGUUGGGUGGUUGUCUGCCAACUGAACCGAUUUAUUUUACGUUUGACCUCAGAUCAGGUAGGGAUACCCCCUGAACUUAAGCAUAUCAA